rnacentral:rRNA from 1 species
AUGACCAAUACGCGAUGGAGCGAAAGUGCCAACCAGAAAGGUUAUGUUCCGGCAAGCUGCCCCAUGCAUCUGCUUGUACGGCAAUACAUGAUGCUUCUUUUCGACCGGGAGACCAGCACAACCUGGCCACAGAGGCGUGACCACGCUCAGAAAGCUAGGAAAGAGUCCAAAUGUUCAAACUGUGGAGUUAUAGGGGGUCAUCGGAAGAGCACCUGCAGCAACCCUAAGGUUACGCUGCAUGUUUUGGAUAAUGGACCGCAACCCACAUGUACUUGUGAUGUCACCACCUUGAGCGCCUAUGUUGUUAUGUUCCGUUGGCUGAUUAAAACGCUGCCUUACCUGGUGUGGCGAGAUGUGCAGUUGCUUUUCAUCUCAUCCACGCGGACGCCAGAGUUUUUGACGCACUGUUACUCGUGCAAUUUGAUUUUUAAACGGGGGGAGAGGGAAGCCACGUGCAUGUACAGGACCGAGACGCCGUCAAUUGUCAAACGGCCUUCCGCUAUCCACGUGCGUACAACCAUUAGUACAGCGCCGAGUACUGGCGUUUUCCGACCACCUGUACGCCCGGAAAUACCCCAUGCGGGCUCACAUCAUGAAACAAGGUAG